rfam:Cephalotus follicularis DNA, scaffold: scaffold2391, isolate: St1.
ACGGCAUGAUGGGGACAUUUUCGGUUGAGGUCCUUUAAUCGUUCCCAUGAUUCAUGGAACUGCUCACCAUCUUGUUGCGAAAAGCUAUUGAGCGCUCGUCUUAUUU